rnacentral:rRNA from 1 species
UACGUAGGGAGCAAGCGUUGUUCGGAGUUACUGGGCGUAAAGCGUGCGUAGGCGGUGUCUUAAGUUUGUUGUGAAAUCCCCCGGCUUAACCGGGAGGGUGCGGCGAAUACUGAGAUGCUGGAGUGCCGGAGAGGUAAGCGGAAUUCCUGGUGUAGCGGUGAAAUGCGUAGAUAUCAGGAGGAACACCUGCGGUGUAGACGGCUUACUGGACGGUAACUGACGCUGAGGCACGAAAGCGUGGGUAGCAAACAGG